rnacentral:rRNA from 1 species
AGUGAACGCUGGCGGUAUGCCUAACACAUGCAAGUCGAACGGCAGCACAGUAAGAGCUUGCUCUUACGGGUGGCGAGUGGCGGACGGGUGAGGAAUACAUCGGAAUCUACUUUUUCGUGGGGGAUAACGUCGGGAAACUUACGCUAAUACCGCAUACGACCUACGGGUGAAAGCAGGGGAUCUUCGGACCUUGCGCGAUUGAAUGAGCCGAUGUCGGAUUAGCUAGUUGGCGGGGUAAAGGCCCACCAAGGCGACGAUCCGUAGCUGGUCUGAGAGGAUGAUCAGCCACACUGGAACUGAGACACGGUCCAGACUCCUACGGGAGGAAGCAGUGGGGAAUAUUGGACAAUGGGCGCAAGCCUGAUCCAGCCAUACCGCGUGGGUGAAGAAGGCCUUCGGGUUGUAAAGCCCUUUUGUUGGGAAAGAAAAGCAGCAGGUUAAUACCCCGCUGUUCUGACGGUACCCAAAGAAUAAGCACCGGCUAACUUCGUG